AUGUAAAUGCACUUAGUAUCUGAAGUUAUUUGUCAAUAACUGGUGAUCAGACUAUUUAAACGAACACGUUUUUAAGGGCUGAGAAGGUGAAAGUUAGAAGUCUGCAGACUGCAACGUAAAUCAAUUUUCAACACAUGGUUUCCUGAAUAUAUUUAGUUUUCGAUU